ensembl:lncRNA
GGAAGUGGCGGCGUCCCCGGCGCGCGGGAAGCCGCCGAAACCGACCUGCCCACAGCCACGGAGUGGAACCACAGGCACACCCGCCAUCUCGCACGCGGUUGUGCAGCCCCAGAGCAGCGGCCCCGGGAGACGCCCGCCCGCCCCCGCCCUCACGGCGCCCCGCCUCAGGCAGCCUUCCCUCGGCCGCGCGGGGCAGCUCCCGGGCCGGCUCCACGGGCUUCUCGCAGAACACGGCGCGCGCGCCGGGCGGAGAGCUUAGGCCGGGCCUCUGCGAGGGUCGGCGGCGCGCAGGGGGCGUGUGAGCGGCCAGCACCUGCCUGCGCCUGGGGGCGGGGUUGUGUGGGCGGCGAGCCCGGCGGGCGCCUGCGCCGGGGGCGUGCGGCCGGGGAGCGCGGGCCGGCGUCGGGGGUUGUGAGAGCCGGAGCGCCGCCCGGCGCACUGGGAGCAUCUCUGAGAGCCUUCCACAGAAGUAUGUGGAUCAUUUAUCUGGAGCUGCUGGUCAAAGAGGAAAAGAAGACAUUAAAUGGACAAGUAGAAGAUUGUGUUAGCUUGUUGAAAAUUUGGGAUGCAAUUCUUUUGUGUGAAAGAUAA